UGAGAGCUGAUGCCUGCCCAUUGAAACUUUCCCGAUUGUAUAUAGGGCAUAGUGAGAUGCAGUUUAGACAUCGAACCCUGUAGGGAGAGAGAGAGGGCGUGCGUGGGUAGGGCGUGCGGUAACAAAAUCGUGGGUGGAGAGAGAGAGAGAGAGAGAGAGAGAGAGAGAGAGAGAGAGAGAGAGAGAGACCGACAGGAAGAGAGACAGAGGAGGGAGAGAGAUAGAGGGGAAGGGAGAGAUCGAGUAGGAGAGGGGAAUAGGGCGAGAGAGGUACAGAGAGAGGAGGCGCGAGAGAGAGACAGA